GUGACGAGCAUGACAGAAGCAGAGCAACACAUCACACAGCCCAGCUUCCCCAGGACAUCCAGCUGAAGGAGAUGAGGCCCCCAGGACAUCCAGCUGAAGGAGAUGAGGCCCCCAGGACAUCCAGCUGAAGGAGAUGAGGCCCCCAGGACAUCCAGCUGAAGGAGAUGAGGCCCCCAGGACAUCCAGCUGAAGGAGAUGAGGCCCCCAGGAGAUCCAGCUGAAGGAGAUGAGGCCCCCAGGACAUCCAGCUGAAGGAGAUGAGGCCCCCAGGAGAUCCAGCUGAAGGAGAUGAGGCCCCCAGGACAUCCAGCUGAAGGAGAUGAGGCCCCCAGGAGAUCCAGCUGAAGGAGAUGAGGCCCCCAGGAGAUCCAGCUGAAGGAGAUGAGGCCCCCAGGAGAUCCAGCUGAAAGACAUGAGGCCCCCAGGACAUCCAGCUGAAGAAGAUAUGAGGCCCCUAGGACAUCAGGACAUCCAGCUGAAGGAGAAGUGGCCCCCAGGACAUCCAGCUGAAGGAGAAGUGGCCCCCAGGACAUCCAGCUGAAGGAGAUAUGAGGCCCCAGGACAUCCAGCUGAAGAAGAUAUGAGGCCCCUAGGACAUCAGGACAUCCAGCUGAAGGAGAAGUGGCCCCCAGGACAUCCAGCUGAAGGAGAUAUGAGGCCCCCAGGACAUCAGG
ensembl:lncRNA